UACGUAGGGCGCAAGCGUUGUCCGGAAUUAUUGGGCGUAAAGAGCUCGUAGGCGGUUUGUCGCGUCUGUCGUGAAAGCUUGGGGCUUAACCCCAAGUCUGCGGUGGAUACGGGCAGACUAGAGGCAGGUAGGGGAGAACGGAAUUCCCGGUGUAGCGGUGAAAUGCGUAGAUAUCGUGAGGAAGACCAGUGGCGAAGGCGAAUCUCUGGACAGAUCCUGACGCUGAGGCACGAAGGCUAGGGGAGCAAACGGG
rnacentral:rRNA from 1 species